rnacentral:rRNA from 1 species
AUUGAACGCUGGCGGCAUGCCUUACACAUGCAAGUCGAACGGUAACGCGGGGCAACCUGGCGACGAGUGGCGAACGGGUGAGUAAUGCAUCGGAACGUGCCCAGAAGUGGGGGAUAGCCCGGCGAAAGCCGGAUUAAUACCGCAUGAGACCUGAGGGUGAAAGCGGGGGAUCGCAAGACCUCGCGCUUUUGGAGCGGCCGAUGUCAGAUUAGCUAGUUGGUGGGGUAAAGGCCUACCAAGGCGACGAUCUGUAGCUGGUCUGAGAGGACGACCAGCCACACUGGGACUGAGACACGGCCCAGACUCCUACGGGAGGCAGCAGUGGGGAAUUUUGGACAAUGGGCGCAAGCCUGAUCCAGCCAUGCCGCGUGCGGGAAGAAGGCCUUCGGGUUGUAAACCGCUUUUGUCAGGGAAGAAACGCUCUGGGCUAAUACCCUGGAGUAAUGACGGUACCUGAAGAAUAAGCACCGGCUAACUACGUGCCAGCAGCCGCGGUAAAAC